rnacentral:rRNA from 1 species
GACGUAGGGCGCGAGCGUUGUCCGGAUUUAUUGGGCGUAAAGAGCUCGUAGGCGGCUUGUCGCGUCGUCCGUGAAAACCUGCGGCUCAACUGCAGGCUGGCGGUCGAUACGGGCAGGCUGGAGUUCGGUAGGGGAGACUGGAAUUCCUGGUGUAGCGGUGAAAUGCGCAGAUAUCAGGAGGAACACCGGUGGCGAAGGCAGGUCUCUGGGCAUUAACUGACGCUGAGGAGCGAAAGCAUGGGAAGCGAACAGG